GCCACUCGCCUCUAAGCCACCUCCACCACUCGCCUCUGCCACUUGCUGCUGCGGCUCGCCUCCGCCGCCCACCUCUGAGGCUCGCCUCUACUGCUCCCUCGAAGGUCAAUGAGCUUCGUCACCCACCUCCGCCGCUCACCUUCGCAGCUCGCCUCCAAGUCGCCUCUGCCACUUGCCACCACGACUCGCCUCCGAGUUGCCUCCACUGCCCACCUCUGAGGCUCGCCUCCGCUGCUCCCUCGAAGGUCAACGAGCUUUAUCACCCACCUCCGCCGCUCGCCUCCCCCACUCACCUCCGCAACUCGCCUCCGCCACUCGCUGCUGUGGCUCGCCUCCGAGUCACCUCUACCACCCGCCUCCGCCACUCCCUCAAAGGUCGAUGAGCUUCAGCCUAACGCAGUGAAAAUCCAGCUCACGGGUGUCAAUUUUUGCCUCAAUAGCACAACUUGAGCCAUUUCAGGCCUUUCGAUCCCUCCAACCCUUCCGUGAGUUCCCCGUCUUUCUCUUGGCCCGACGCCUUGUCCUUUUUAUAUCUGUUGGGUGGCGCGUGCUUCGUUUAGUUUCCUCAAUUUCUGCUACUGCUAUCGAUGUGUGUGAUUCUUUUUCUUAUCUCUUUUCUUAGUCUAUUUGCCGGUGGUGAAAGAUGAUGAAGAAUUUGCAUAGGAGAAAUGACGUUUCCUCAGCUUCCGCUCACGGAAGGGUUGGAGGGAUCGAAAGGCCUGAAAUGGCUCAAGUUGUGCUAUUGAGGCAAAAAUCGACACCCGUGAGCUGGAUUUCUCGUCGACCUUCGAGGGAGCGGCGGAGGUGAGCCUCAGAUAGAUGACUGAUGCUUGAACGAAGAAUGGACUGACUCAUCACGAGGCUACUCUCUUUCAGUUGCCAUGCCAAACCCACCAUUUCAUCCGUCAGAGCCUCUUGAAGCUUUCUGUUGAAAAGGAAAAGCAGCCACAAAGUAAGCUGAAGGUUCAAUGUGGACGAUGGGAAAACGAGCUUGAAGGAAAAAGAAGCCUAGACACACUCGGGGAGGGGAUUGUAACUCGCCAACUAAAUCACACUCUACUUUUAAGCCCAAGAAAGUUUAAACUGAUUCAACCUUAGAGCCAUAUGCUAGUCUCACAGCAUAUCUUCUUCAACCUUACUUGACACCAGAGUCCAGAAAUUUUACUCUUUUCUGUUAUGAUGUCGUUCAGUAUGUAUCAUUUCAACAUAUCUUCAUACCUGACCAGAUUCUUAGAUCCUUCC